CGUAGGGGGCAAGCGUUGUCCGGAUUUAUUGGGCGUAAAGCGCUCGCAGGUGGUUCAUUGCGUCGUGCGUGAAAGACCCCGGCUCAACCGGGGAGGGUCGUGCGAAACGGGUGAACUAGAGGCCAGUAGGGGGAUGCGGAAUUCCGGGUGUAGUGGUGGAAUGCGUAGAGAUCCGGAGGAACACCAGCGGCGAAGGCGGCAUCCUGGACUGGUCCUGACACUCAGGAGCGAAAGCGUGGGGAGCGAUCCGGAUUAGAUACCCGGGUAGUCCACGCUGUAAACGAUGAGUACUAGGUGUUGGGGGUAUCGACCCCCUCAGUGCCGAAGCUAACGCGAUAAGUACUCCGCCUGGGGACGUACGGCCGCAAGGCUAA
rnacentral:rRNA from 1 species